AUGUACAAAAUAUUUAUCACAAAUAUUUGUUUCCUCCUUAUAAAUAUUUUAUAAAUAUUUUGUGCUAUCUGGGAACGUAGCGCUAUUAAUAUUCACGAUGAAUUAAUUACUGGCUAAUUUAAUAUUCGGUGUGUCGCGAUCGACGGACGUGUGUGUUUUUUUGCCGGGAACGUUGGGGAUCCGACGCACGGUCAUCGCGGUGGAUUAUUUUCGUCACGUUGACGGACGAUGACGCGCGGCGCCGUCUUGUUAUUCGCGAUUAAUACUCUCGGUUUGUAUCAAUACGCGCGAGAUAAGGUCGCGAAGGGGCGUGCGUGGCUAUCGGUUCGUAGUUUUACUUAUUCAAGCGGCGCGAAGUUCAUAGUACAUAGUACCCGUGACCUCGACGACCCUUCCCAAUGACGAUUCUGAUUGCGCUAGUGAGAGAUCUACUUCUCCCCACUUCCGUUAGAGCGCACUUGUUUUUCCUGCAUUCGAUAUGUGCACCCGCAAAAAUCCUGAAAAGAUAAAAAAAUACACAAACGUAUGCGAAAUCCGUGUGUGGGUGUGUUUGAUUGAUAUAUAUGGUCGGUUAAAAUAAUACACAGAGUUUUCUAAAAGUUUUUUUUAAAAAAAGUUAUUUUGUUUGAAAAGAUUUAUGUAAUGAGUUUAACAAAUUUAAAUUUUUUUAGGUUUUUAAUCGUGAUUUUCUUUUAUUGAUUAGUAAAUAUUAUAUUUUGUAUAUCUAUUUAAAUCUUAUCAUCAGACCUAUCGUCAAUUAUAACUCUUAAAUUAUUGUUAUAAAAAUAAACUGUAAUAGUUUUUUUAGUAAACUAUAGUAUUUAUUUUUUAUUUGAGUUAUGGCAUUUUUGUUUCUUUGUGCCGUUUAAUCAAUAUAAAUUGAUUUCACAGAUUUAAUUCAGUAACCGUGUUAACGACUUUGAUGUCAGUUAUGGAAGAUUAAUAUAACUUUAUAAGAUACAUUAUUUAAAAAUUACACUUUAUUAAAUUGUUAAAUUUAUACAUCAUUAAAUAUCUUAUAAAACUGUAAAAAAAAUAUAAAUGUAUAUGCAUUAUUUAUUUAAACGAAUGAAACUGUUAUUGGAAAAAUUUGAAGAAACUUUUAUUUAAAUAUAGCAAUACAAUAUAACAUAAUAUAGGCAAGAAUCAAAACAUGCGCAUGCGCAAGGAAGUAUUGUCCGUUUGCUUUUCUCGUUUCAAAAUAGUGAUCUUCGGAAAGCCGACUCAGUGCCAUCGCGAAACUCUUCGCUCUUUUCGCGGCUCUGUGAAAACCGAUCGGUGUGACCUUCUGGCAAUUUUGGACUUGUGGGGAAGGAGCAUUCGUAUUCGCGCUCCGUCGGAUCAUCGACGUCGUCGUCGGCGCGGCUCCGUCCCCAGGUGGCGUGCCGCUUGUCGGAUCGAACUUCGUCCCGUCAGUCAGCGUCGGCGUCGACGUCGGCU